rnacentral:rRNA from 1 species
UACGGGGGGGGCAAGCGUUGUUCGGAAUUACUGGGCGUAAAGGGCUCGUAGGCGGCCAACUAAGUCAGACGUGAAAUCCCUCAGCUUAACUGGGGAACUGCGUCCGAUACUGGAUGGCUUGGAUUUGGGAGAGGGAUGCGGAAUUCCAGGUGUAGCGGUGAAAUGCGUAGAUAUCGGGAGGAACACCAGUGGCGAAGGCGGCUUCCUGGCCUGUUCUUGACGCUGAGGCGCGAAAGCUAGGGGAGCAAACGGG